rnacentral:lncRNA from 1 species
GCUCCGCCACCACCCUCCGCCGUCUCCACUGCCUAGCGCCGCCGCCAUCCUCCACCGCCUGCUGCCUCUCUCCCACAAAAUCUGCUCGUCGCCUUCCCUCUCUGCUUGGCCUUGCCGCCUUCUCCAUCUCGACCCUUUUCUCCACCACCCCACCGCCGCCUCAAUCUGCUUGCCGUCGAUCUGCCGCCACCACCGCCCUCGUGCCCUCCACCACCCCAGAUUCUCGGUCACCACUG